ACCGCAGACCGCCUUAUCGUCCCGAUUUAAAUUGGGGAGGAAAGUCCGGACACCAAAGAGUAGCAUAGCGGAUAACAUCCGUCAAUUCAAGAAAUUGGAUUAGGACAAGUGCAACAGAAAGUAUGUACAGUUCGGCUGUAGUGAAACCAGGUAAACUCUAUGCGGUGAAAUUUCAAGUAUAUCGACAUUUAAGGAUUACUCGUCCGUUGUCGAAGGGUAGAAAGAUUGAAUCCCGAAGUAAUUCGGGAUCUAGAUAAAUGAUAAGGCAUCUUUACUGAUGACAGAAUCCGGCUUAUAGGUCUGCUUUUUUU
rnacentral:RNase_P_RNA from 3 species